rnacentral:misc_RNA from 1 species
GUAUUGUAUUGCGUUAAACGCGGCGUACAUUCCACAAACUUCUUUAACGUGUGUGUGUAAAGACGUAGAACCGCAGAAGGGAAGCAGAGCCUCCAGACCACAGAGCUACAAAAGGUGCACAGGGGUGGGUGGAUGUGUAAACAGAGCGUGCACGUGCCCCCGUUUGAAGGCCAGCAACAACUCGUGUCAACAAUUCGGUAAUGAUCCUUCCGCAGGUUCACCUACGGAAA